rnacentral:misc_RNA from 1 species
AUGAAUAACUUGAUGUGGUUGUAGCUGGCUCUUAGGAGCAUGUGCACGCCCGUCAUCUUAUCUUUCCACCUGUGCACACUAUGUAGAUCUGGAUAACUCUCGCUCUUCGGAGCGGAAACAAGGAUUGCUGCGUCGCAAGGCCAGCUCUCUUUGAAUUUCCAGGUCUAUGUUUAUUACAAACUCCAAUUGAAUGAUGAAGAAUGUAGUCAAUGGGCUUCGUGCCUAUAAAACACUAUA